CGGGUCGGGAAACCGAGGGAGUUAGGGUAGAGCUGAGGGACUACCCAAACCCGAGCCCAAGGCAACCAGCCUGCCGGCAGCUUCCAGUAGAUCGUUUUGUAGAGGGGGCGUCGGGCUUGGAAGGGAGAACUCCCUGAGAGCCCCAGUGUCUUAGAGUGCUAGGAUCUAGCAGUGGUCAUGAUACUGGAUUUCCUCCACGCUGUCACCCUUAAGUCUGGCCACUUUUAGCUUUGUUCUGCCCCUCUCUCCACCCCCGCUCCUGCGAAAAAGUAUGGUUAGUGAACAUUUUUUGAGGAUUUAUGUGAGAUGAGGCCGCAUUUACAAAAACACCCAGCAGAGAGAUUGGAAUGAAUUGCUGUGGCUGUGGCAGACUACUUGUGUCUUCCGCAUCCUGACACUCACCUCCGCCCUCCUAAACCCUAACUCUUGCAGGCCUUAAUUUUCCCCGAGGGCUUAUCUAGGUCUAUUGGUAAGUGUAGGCAUCUCCUCGAGGCUGUGAGAUUACAGCCCGAGCCUAGUAAAAACUAAACUGGGUCUGGCCUAAAAGACUCAGGUUUGGUACAACCUCACCAGCAGGUGAACUUUCAGCUAGCCCCAGAAAGAAAGGCAGAGGUUGUAGGGGAGAAGGUGGUUCCGUAAUCUCGGAGCCUGCCUCGCCCCUUCUAACAAAUCCUGUUCCCCCUUCCCCACCUGGACAGCAAAGGUGGGAUGCAACUUCUGACGAUCUUGGUGUGGAAGGAGAAGAAAGGAGGGCCAAUCUAAGCUGCAGACUCCCUGUGACCCUAUAUGUUCUGACAAAGGCAAAAUACAGCAGGAGAUAAUAACCUCCCUGGCCUGGGCACAAUGUCUCUUAUAAUUCAACCUAAGAAAACACAUACCACACUUUCGACUCAUUGAGCUUGCAGGUCCCUAAGACUUCCAGAUCUUCUUCAAGUUGACUCGGAAGCUGAGGUAAAGAGAGUGGAAGUGAUUUGACCAUAGUGACAUGGCUGCCAAACGGCAGUACUAAAAGCCCCAAACUUCUGACUCUCAGGCCAGUGAUACUUCCCCUACACCAGGAUACUUUUAUUUGCUACACCAUACCCUUCCUUGGGAUAGGUCAUAUUAUUGGGAAAGGGUUGCCAUGAUUCUAAAGUCUUGAUUUUCCAGUUGGAGCACCUCUGAGGCAUUAGAAAGGGGGGCAUCCCAGUCUUGGGAAACUACGAUCUGGAAUGUUCACUGACCACCUUUGGAGUCUCUGUCUCUCUUUUUCUUCCUGCCUCCACGUAUACACUGUACCCCUACCUACCUCUUUAAUUAGCCUCCCUUUCCCAUCUGGACUUCAAAUUUCUUGAGAGUUCCUUUCCUCUGGGAUAGGCCCUCUUGGGCUCUAUCUCCACAGAAUGAGGUGGGAAAAGGACUGAAAUGGCCUCAGGAGAAAUGAGGCUUAAACUCCAAGAACUUUUUUAGGGGGGGUAGAAAAGAGAGAGAUGGGAUUGAAAAGAUGUCCCAGCCCCAGGGGAAUGAAGGCAUCAGGAACAGCUGUCUUCCUUUUUACAGGAGGAAAGGGAAUAGGACAGGUGGAAAGGGAUAGUCCCUGUGCAGAGGCAGAGGGAUGGCUUUGAUGAUAUACACAUAGCAGGGUGUUAGUGAGAAUAUGAGGGAAGGGGGGUUGGGGGGUGCAGGGAAGAGCAUUUUUACUUCUUCAUUCUCUCAUGGGGAGAGGGGCCAGCUUCACUCAGCUAACGAACCUCCUCCCAAAUUCUCCAAGUUGGAUUUGGUCUGUCCCAGAGGGGGGUCUUUUAUAACAAGGGGCCCCCCCUCCAGCCCUGUCCCUCCUUCCUCUGGAGCUGAAGCGUCCAAAGGUUCCUGGAAUAUAAUGGAUCAUUUUCAAUUUACCAGAGUCUUAGAGAUUACGCCGCUAAUCCCAUCAAAGA